AAAAAAAAAAAAAAUCUCUCUCCUCUUAAUUUCUUCCCGAUCUUUCAUUUUCUCUCUCCCCAUCUUUUCUUCUUCUUCGCGUUUGCAUCAAACCCUAGCCUCCUCCGCUCUUCAUCUUCUCGCCUCUUCAUCUUCUCAUUUAAUUUCUCUUCUGUCUCUUUUUCUUUUUCUCAUGCAAAGAAGCAAGGUAAAAGGAAAUUGGAUUCCGACAGAGAUUUAUUGGCGGAAAUGUCAUGUCAAGAACAAGGAUAUAUGGAAGUUUCUUAAUGGUAUCUAUAUCAAGAAGAGAAGUUGGAGCUUGGAGGUGAUAAAUACAAGCGAAUUUAUCGUUAAUUAAAGUACUAAAAUAGCAUGGACAUAGAACCAAAGGAGUUGAUUGCAAUACUUAUUGUCAUUUGCUCAACACAACAACAAUGGAUGCUAAUGUUCAAUAUGAUAAUGAGACUUGGAGACAGAAGAAUAGAAAACCAAUCACCACACCUAAGACACCAAAUUAGGCAACUUAACUUUUUUCGUCUAAUUCAUGAAAGUGAUAUAGCUUGUUGAGAGAGUAUACGGAUGGAUCGAAGAUGUUUUACUAUCUUGUGUACUAUGUUAAGAACAAGAGGGGGAUUGGAAGCCACUCAAUAUAUGGAUGUUGAAGAGAUGGUUACGAUUUUUUUGAAUAGGGUAGCUCGACGACAUUUUGUACGGUCUGGUGAAACAAUGUCAAGACACUUCAAUGCUGUUCUUAACACAAUUCUUAGACUCCAUGAAAUCCUUCUUAAGCAACCUGAUUCAGCGGCCCAUUCAUGUUCGCACGAGAAGUGGCGAUGGUUUCAAGUAUAUAAUCAUUCUGCCACUACAUUAUAGUGGAUAUGUGCUUCUAUGAAUUGACGAAUAAAAUGUCUUUUACCCAUUGACAGAAUUGUCUAGGUGCAUUAAAUGGUACACACAUCAAAGUGAAUGUAAGUAUGAGUGAUCGUCCUAGGUAUAGAUCUAGAAAUGGUGACAUUACCACAAAUGUACUUGGUGUGUGUUCGCAAAAUGGUGAGUUCAUAUUUGUCAUGCCUGGAUGGGAAGAGUCUACAUCCGAUUCGAGAGUACUUAGAGAUGCAGUGUCACAACCUAGUGGUCUAAAAGUCCCAAAGGGUAAGAUGAUACAUUCUCUUCUCCCCACACAGUGGUGUUAGCUAGACCAUAUGCUCAUUUAAUAUGGUGUACCCUAAUAAUUCAUUAUGAGUGCAACAUGGGCAAGUUACUACUACUUGUAUGAUACUGGUUAUCCAAAUGCUGAAGGAUUCCUCGCUCCAUACCGAGGUCAACAUUACCAUCUAACUGAAUGGUGUGGAGGAAACCCACCAAAAUGGCCGAAAGAGCUAUUUAACAUGAGGCAUUCCUAUGCUAGAAACGUUAUUGAAAGAGCAUUUGGAUCAUUGAAGGAUCGGUGGGCCAUUCUACGAGGGAGAUCCUAUUACCCCGUUGACAUACAAUGUAAAAUAAUAACAGCAUGUUGCCUCUUACAUAACUUGAUACAUAGAGAAAUGAAUUCAGAGGCAACAUUUGAGGAGCCACAUCUUGGUGAAGGUGAUUCAAGCGAGAUGAACAUUGAGAAUGUGAACUCUGUGGAACGACUAAUGUCUGGACUGAAUGGAGGGAUAAUCUUGCAAACAAAAUGUUUGAGGAUUGGAAUAAUGUAUGACUAAUAUAUGUAGUUUAGUUUCCUAUAUAAUUUUCUUGUUUUAUCACAUGAUCUGUACUUGAACUAUUUUUUGUGUGUAAUUGGAGUAAAAAAUACAUAGGGUUUCCUCUAAAUUAUGAGAACUAAAUUGUCUAUAUGUCAAUCUAUAGAUUUUGUAUC